AUCCGGAGGGUGCAAGCGUUGUCCGGAUUUAUUGGUUUAAAGGGUGUGUAGGCGGUGUAUUAAGUCAGUGGUGAAAGCCUGCGGCUCAACCGUAGAACUGCCAUUGAUACUGACACACUUGAGUAUGGACGAGGUAGGCGGAAUUUAUGGUGUAGCGGUGAAAUGCAUAGAUACCAUAAAGAACACCGAUAGCGAAGGCAGCUUACUAGGCCAUAACUGACGCUGAGGCACGAAAGCGUGGGGAGCGAACAGGAUUAGAAACCCCAGUAGUCC
rnacentral:rRNA from 1 species